rnacentral:lncRNA from 1 species
UUAUUCUAUACUACUAGGUCUUUUUUAGGAGAGAUGUCUGUUUCAGUUCACAGGAUUCGUUUUAGUAUGGAAAACCAAUAUACGGUAAAAGAUGCAAAGAGUCAUGCAUACCAUUGAAGCAUCUGAAUCAGAUAUCUUUCAUUUCACAGAUGUGCUUAAAUAAAAUACUGUUAGACAGAUGCCAUUUCAUAGGUCACGGGGUUGCAAUACAUUAAUGUUAAAACUACUCAAAUUGUUAAUUAAGCUAAAACUACACAUGACUUCCACACACACACACAAAGCUAACAAUGACCAAAUUUAAUUAACUUACAAGAUUCUUGGCAACUUUAGGGUCGUUGAUUGUAUCAUACGACUCUGUGUAAGUUGGGAUAACAGGAAAUUCCUCACCCUUCUCUUUGUGGUGGACCACCCUAUAUAUGAUAGGUAGCCGCCCCGUGUGGUGCUCCGACUCCUUCUUACCACGGUUAGUCGUGUUAGCCGCCGAUCGUGUCUACCAAAUAUUGAACCAAUCAGUAAGCAACAAACAAAAUUAGAGAAACAUGAUGCUUUUGCUAAUUUAUAUGAAUUAUUUACCCAAAAAAAAUAUUAUUAUAUAACAGGACUUGAUGAAUAAAAUUGAGAGAAAAAGAAAGUAAAGGAGACUAG